UACGUAGGGGGCGAGCGUUGCUCGGAAUUACUGGGCGUAAAGGGCGCGUAGGCGGGAUGGCAAGUCGGUCGUGAAAUCCCUCGGCUCAACUGAGGAUCGUCGAUCGAUACUGCCGUUCUUGAGGAUUGCAGAGGAGACUGGAAUUCCCGGUGUAGCGGUGAAAUGUGUAGAGAUCGGGAGGAACACCGGUGGCGAAGGCGGGUCUCUGGGCAAUUCCUGACACUGAGACACGAAGGCCAGGGGAGCAAACGGG
rnacentral:rRNA from 1 species